UUAGGUACCGUGUUUGACAUGUAUUAGAUUUAAAUUAUAAUUAUUCAAAAUGUUAUGUCCGUGUUCCCGGACUUCGGGAUAGCAUCCCAUACCUCAUUGGGCGAUUCCCCUGUCGCUCACCCCUCACUCUUCCCCCCUUUUAGGUGAGAUCGAUGAGCAGGAGUGAUCUUAUCGGACUUGGGCUUCUUGGUGCUAUUUGGGCUUUUGGGCUUUUACCACUAUCGGGCUUUGAACUUCUAUCACUCUUAUCGUUUUAUCGCUUUUGGGCCUUUGGGCUUCUAUCUAUCGUUUAUGUUUAUUUCCAUUUCAGACUUUCGGUUUAUGUCGUACUUUAUAUUUCGGAUGUUAUCGUUAUCGGGCCUUUUGGCCUUAUGUCAUCGUAUUGACUUUUAUAUUAUAAUGGAGAUUAAUAUUAUUAUUUGAGUUGUAUUAUUAUUUUAUUUCCGCUUUUAUUUAUUAUUAUAUCUCGAAAGUGACGGGUGUCACAAUAUCCUUCAAGCUAAAUUCAGUUCAAGAUUCAUCCAGACGCUUGAAGAGAAGGUCGCCAACAGCCGCUUAACCCAAGACUGGUCAACUCUUCGAGUUCACCUCCAACCUCUGCAUUAUUGACCAAACUGCCAACCAAACCGACCAGAGCUCACCGGAGAAAAGGGUCUGGCCAGGUGCAUUGGCUGAGAUCAAACGACAUCGCUUCAUCUAGUCCAGCUACAAACUGCUCAUGUGUGGGAUCAUUACCGGACCGGAUCCGUUUUGAAAGCAUGAUUUUUGGCGAUGAUAAUGAAAGAGAUAAAGGAGGAGAACCUGAAACGAUGGAGAGAGAGAGAGAGAACGGACAUAACAGCGACAAAGAAGAUGGUGGGUCUCACGACAAUGAUGAAAGCAUGAUUUUUUAUGAGAUGAAAGCAUGAUUUUUUAUGAUGUGGGGGGUUAUGAUGGAAGAUGUGCUAGAUGAAGAAGAUGGUUGGUGUUUGGUCUGAAAAGGAAAGAAACGAUGAUGCCCUUUCACGUGGAUCAGUCUUUUAGGUGAGAUCGAUGAGCAGGAGUGAUCUUAUCGAACUUGGGCUUUUUGGUGCUAUUUGGGCUUUUGGGCUUUUACCACUAUCGGGCUUUGGACUUCUAUCACUCUUAUCGUUUUAUCACUUUUGGGCCUUUGGGCUUCUAUCUAUCGUUUAUGUUUAUUUCCAUUUCAGACUUUCGGUUUAUGUCGUACUUUAUAUUUCGGAUGUUAUCGUUAUCGGGCCUUUUGGCCUUAUGUCAUCGUAUUGACUUUUAUAUUAUAAUGGAGAUUAUAAUUAUUAUUUGAGUUGUAUUAUUAUUUUAUUUCCGCUUUUAUUUAUUAUUAUAUCUCGAAAGUGACGGGUGUCACAAUCUGGUAUCAGAGCGGGUUCCGUCCCGGCCCCGACCCGGGAUGGCGAUUCGUGGAGACUCGGUUUUGACUCGAUUUUAAUUCGGUUUUAUACGGUUUUGGAAGUUUUAGUGGAGAUUUGAGAAUUUUAAAAAUUAAAACCAAUAGCACCGUUUCGUCCGAUAUUACUCCUUUAAUUAAUGAAUUCAUUGUUCAUCGGAAGUUGACUUAUUUUGUGACACCCGUCACUUUCGAGAUAUAAUAAUAAAUAAAAGCGGAAAUAAAAUAAUAAUACAACUCAAAUAAUAAUAUUAAUCUCCAUUAU
rnacentral:lncRNA from 1 species